CUUUGGUUAUUCCUGUUCAAUUCGUAACCAUUGUUUGUGCUGGUGUAUGAGUAAUUGAAGUUACUGUUUGAGUGUUGAAAUUUCAUAUAAUCAUUGAAGUUACUGUUGGAAAAUUCUAAGUUAUGCAUUAUGAUUCACAGGGCAAUUCAUUCCUCAAUGGACAAUAAUUCUAUAGAUAAAGGUAGUGACAUAAUUGAUGUUGACGUUGACUUUAAUGUCAAUGAUUUUCCAAUUUCCGGGUAAAGUAUUGACUCAACAUGUGUUGAUCUUCAUACUUUAGAUUCAAAUGUUGAUGAAAUGACAUCAAAGGGUAAACAAAUUGUUAAGAAUAAAAGAAAGUUGAGAUCAAUAGUAUGGAACUAUUUUGAUGUUUUACCUGUAACAACGGAUGACAAAAGACGUCGUUCGAAAUGUAAGAAGUGUGAGAAUGUGUAUCUUUGUGAUAGUAAGAAACAUGAAAAAAACAUCAAACAAAUUGCGUGAGAUGAAACACUACGAAUAUAGGUCAAUUGAUUUUGUCUCAAGAAAGUGGUUUGGAAAGUCAGUUUGAUCAAGGUACAUUUCUAGGCUUGUUAACAACAACAAUUAUUUUACAUGUUUUGCCAUUUCAGUUUGUUGAGUACGAUGGUAUUCGUACAUUAAUCAAAUAUAUUUGCCCGUCAGCGCAUGUUACUACGAAAAAUACAGUGAUAGCUCGUGCGCUAAAAUUGUAUGAAAGUAACAAAUCGAGGUUGAAAUCCAUGUUAGAACGUUGUCCUGGUAGAAUUUCUUUGACCACUGAUUUGUGGACUUCAUUUGCUAAUGAUGGCUAUAUAUAUUUGACGACACACUACAUAAAUAAUGAUUGGGAGUUACACAAAGUAAUUUUGAAUUUCAUUUUCAUGGCUCCACCUCAUUCCGGUGUCGCGUUAGUUGAGAAGAUAUGUUCGAUGAUUUCUGAUUAGGGCAUUGAGAAUAAAAUUUUCUCGUUGAGUUUGGAUAAUGCUUCUUCGAAUACUGUCUAUGUGGGAGUUUUAAGAUCUCAGCUGAACAUGAGAGAUGCUUUGUUGUGUAAUGGGGAAUUCUUUCAUUUGCAUUGUUGUGCACAUAUAUUAUAUCUUGUUGUGUAAGAAGAAUUGAAAGAGAUUGAUGAUUCAAUUAAACAAAAUCAGAGAAAGUGUUAAGUAUAUAAGGGAUCACAGAUGAGAAAGGAAAAAUUCAUUGAAUGUAUUAAAAUUAUGUCUCUUGAUUCCAAAAAAUAUUUGAGACAAGAUAUGCCUAUAAGGUGGAAUUCUACUUAUAUGAUGCUUGAAAGUGCUAUUGUUUUUAGACGUGCAUUUUGUCAUUUGGAGUUGAGUGACUCGGAUUACAAACAUUGUCCUUCAGCAAAUGACUAAGAAAAGGUUGAAAAGAUUUGUAAGUUCUUGUCUGUGUUCUAUGAUCUGACUACUAUGUUUUUUGGAACAAACUAUCCCACCUCAAACUUAUACUUUCCUGGAGCAUUUGUGGUGUAUUUCACAUUGAAAUAAGGAUCUGAAAGUUUGGACUCAUACGUUCGAUCAAUGACAAAUAGGAUGCUGGAAAAGUUUGGAAAAUAUUGGUCAGACUUUGUUUUGAUAUUAGCUAUUGUCAUUACUUUAGAUCCACGAUAUAAGUUUAAAUUUGUGGAGUUUUAUUUUAAGAAAUGUUACCUAGACAAGAGUUCUAUUGAAAUCAGUAAGGUUCAAAACAAAUUGUUAACUCUUUUUAAUGAGUGCGAGGAUAAGUCUUCUGGUGCGUCUUCUUCAUCCAAAGGGGGUCUUUCUGAAAAAGGUUCAUCAUUACAUCAUAAUGUGACACGUGGGUUGUUCACGGAGUUUGAUUCUUUUGAGAGUGACAUACUUGAAGUGAAAAAUCAAAAAACGCAAUUGGAUAAGUACCUAGAGGAACCAAGGGUUGAUAGAAACUCCAAUAUUGAAAUAUUGAAGUUUUGAAAAGCUAAGCAAUAUCGAUAUCCACAGGAUGCUGCUAUGGCUUGUGAUGUGCUUGGCCUUCCGAUAUCCACGGUAGCAUCGGAGUCCGCAUUUAGUAUUGGAGGGAGAGUAUUGGAUCAAUAUUGAAGUAGUCUUAAACCAAAUACCGUGGAGGCACUUAUUUGCAAUCGAGAUUGGAUUAACAAUUUAAAAGAAUCUAGUGAAGUGAGGAUUGAAGAACUUACUGAGGAUAUUACAAGAGUAAGCAUUGAUCAAGACAAGUCUUCACUUGAAAAUGC